AUUCGUCCACAAUAUCAAGUAAGUGAUUAUUAUACUACUUCUUUGCAUUAUUUUGGUUGAAAUUUUCAAAUUUUUGUAGAAAAUUAACAUUUUUAGGUUUUUAAAAAAUUGUCUCGCAUGUUAAAGAUUAUGAUUGUUAGUGAUGAUUUAACUUAGGAAUUGUUGUUUAGAUGUUGUUUAGGGUACAAUGUGGUAGUUUAGGGUUUAGAAAAUGUAAGAUUACAUAGUUGUUUGAAAAAUGCACACUACGUGUUCGGUGAAAUGUCUCAAUGAUAUUUUUUUUUAUUUUUUUGGAUUGUUAAUGAAGUAAUUAGUUAGAGCUAUGUUUGUUAAUGUUGAUGAUAGUUAAUUUGACUGCAAUGUGGUAGUUUAUGGAUUCAAAUGACAUUGUCGAUAUUAUAGAUAGUGUUGUUGUAUUAUUAAAGAUGACACAUGUGUUGCUAUCGAAAUUAUGUGCAAAAGUGUUAAAGAUUUUUUUUCUUUUUGUGCAGAUAUGUCUGAGCAGGAGAGGAAUGACAUUUUUAGGGCUGGGAGGCGUGCCUCGACUGGUAGUGCACGGAGGGAGAAGCAAGCGUUACAGCCUCCGGCUGGUCGACGUCGAGGGAGACUGGGGGCCACGAGUCUUGCUACUGUUGAUGUUGCGGGGGGAUCGACGUCACACAGACGGGUGCAUCCCAGAUUGUGGACCCGCCACAGUACCAGCCUGAGCAACAUUAUCAGGA
rnacentral:lncRNA from 1 species